UACAGAGGGGGCAAGCGUUAUUCGGAAUUAUUGGGCGUAAAGGGCGCGUAGGCGGCCUGGCAAGUGGAAGGUGAAAUCCCUCGGCUUAACCGAGGAACUGCCCUCCAAACUGCUUGGCUUGAGUCCGGGAGAGGUGAGUGGAAUUCCCAGUGUAGCGGUGAAAUGCGUAGAUAUUGGGAGGAACACCAGUGGCGAAGGCGGCUCACUGGACCGGAACUGACGCUGAGGCGCGAAAAGCGUGGGGGAGCAAACGGGG
rnacentral:rRNA from 1 species